rnacentral:rRNA from 1 species
UACGUAGGGCGCAAGCGUUAUCCGGAAUUAUUGGGCGUAAAGAGCUCGUAGGCGGUUUGUCGCGUCUGCCGUGAAAGUCCGGGGGCUCAACUCCGGAUCUGCGGUGGGUACGGGCAGACUAGAGUGAUGUAGGGGAGACUGGAAUUCCUGGUGUAGCGGUGAAAUGCGCAGAUAUCAGGAGGAACACCGAUGGCGAAGGCAGGUCUCUGGGCAUUAACUGACGCUGAGACACGAAAGCUAGGGGAGCGAACGGG